rnacentral:rRNA from 1 species
CGGCGAACGGGUGAGUAACACGUGGGUGACCUGCCCUCAGCUCUGGGAUAAGCCUGGGAAACUGGGUCUAAUACCGGAUAUGACCUCCUGCCGCAUGGUGGGUGGUGGAAAGUUUUUUCGGCUGGGGAUGGGCCCGCGGCCUAUCAGCUUGUUGGUGGGGUGAUGGCCUACCAAGGCGACGACGGGUAGCCGGCCUGAGAGGGCGACCGGCCACACUGGGACUGAGACACGGCCCAG